UACGAAGGGUGCAAACGUUGCUCGGAAUUAUUGGGCGUAAAGCGCACGUAGGCGGCUUAGCAAGUUGGAUGUGAAAUCCCUCGGCUCAACCAAGGAAGUGCAUCCAAAACUGCUGAGCUUGAAUACUUAAGAGGAUCGCGGAAUUCCCGGUGUAGAGGUGAAAUUCGUAGAUAUCAGGAAGAACACCCGUGGCGAAGGCGGCUCUCUGGGACGGUACUGACGCUGAGACGCGAAAGCGUGGGGAGCGAACAGG
rnacentral:rRNA from 1 species